AUACACCGAUCGGUCUGCGCAGCACCGCUUGAUAAACGUGGUGGUGAUUUCUACAGCAGUGAAAGCGGACACCGAGGAUAACGCAAACAUAACCCUACUGACAGAAAUACUAACUACAACGUUUUAUAUUACAAUUUUUUCUGAAUUCAAAGAUUUUUGGAAACAUUUGGGAUACUAUGAACCAUCAUCAGGUUGCCUUUAGGGAGGGUGUAUUCCAGACGACCUCCAUACGGAGUGCUUAUGAUCCUCUGACGGGGAAGCUUCGGGAUCUUCUCGAAAAUACUUGGAUUCUCUACACUGAAAAUGCUAAUGAACGCAAACAAAGAUUUUUGGAUCAGUGUUUGCCCAUCACUUUGCAGUACACACAGAUGGAUUAGAUUAAGGAUAAUCCUUACGUGUAAACUUCUUUAAUGACUUCCACAAGAAUUUCAGCAUAUUCAUUAGCAUGUCGCUGAUUUCCGACUUUCUUGAAGGCGUCAUCAAAAUAAAUAUGGAAUUCAAACUCUUCACCAGUAUUUGUGCCGGACUUUGGUCUGUAUUUAUCGAGCCUGGUAAGAAAAUCAAACAGUACUGCUAUUAAAAUUCACUUGAUAAAAGCCGAGUACUGAAAGUGGAGAUUACUGUAUGUUUACCUGAACAUAGAGAUGAUAAUCUUCAUCAUUUCAUCAUAGGUCUCAUGCCACAUUGUUGCACACGGAAACACUCUGAUGGUUUCUUUUACUCUGAGGACAAUACGUAUUCACAAAGUGAGCCAUUUCAACUCAUAAAAUCAAAGUUUUUCCUUCAGAAAGAAAACUUACCGUUUAUCCUUGUGUCUUUUUUUGAUCUCAAAACGGGUGUUCAGCAACAUGGACUGUUCCAGAAAUGCUCCCUCAUACAUGCGGCGCACAAACAAAUCUUUUGUCCUUUCUAUUCGGUUGAUCUUCAGGUACCAGGCAUAAAUUGUACUGAGAAUGAGUCCCAACCACCAGCAGAGAGCAGAGCUGCCCAUGCAUGCCAGUCCUUGAGUUGUUUGGUUUCUCACAAUGUUUCUGGCACAAAGAGUUCUUUUCACAUCCAAUAUCAUCAGUUCCAUAAAUUUGGCAUCAGGCGUCUUUUGAAUUCUCUGACAAUAGGUUGUAUUUUCCUUCGAUCCAAAGGGCAUAACUGCAGCUGGAAUCAAUGCCACCACCAAAACUGUAGCUGACGCCAGGUACAUGGGCAGGAUGAAGCUGCGCCGCAUGGCAUGCAUUUUACAAGCCACAACCACAAACCAGCGACACAAGGCGGAGGACGCAAUCUGGAUUCCCACCAAUGCAAUCAAAACUGUAUGGCCAGGUAAAGUUACUGAUUCCCAUUUCUGCUUUGUUAUAGGAACAUAAGCUCCAAGCACACCUGCAGUAACCCCAAUUCUCAUCAAACUGGAGAGGAUGCAGACCACAUUUUGAGACUUAACUAUGUCUUCACAAAUGUCCUUUAAAAACUUGACUUUAAACAGUGUACUGUAGUUCUCCCACCAGUUCAGAGAAACUAAGAUGGUUCCUAAGAUGGCAAGCCCGACUGAUAUUUUUAAAAUAGUAGUGCUUUCUUCUGACACCAGAUAGCUGACUGCAAAAAGGACGUAACCCAGGAUGAUGAGAAGAAUGGAGCACACAGGUAUUAUUAUAAAGCGCUUCAUGUCACCAGCAGAGCACUGAGCAAACACUUGGAAGACUGCGGACAGGAUGCUCACACUAUUUAGUAUCAUCACAUUAGUGACAAUGUCAAAGUGUGGCAUGGCAAUGACUGCUAGGAUUGCAGCUCCAAAUCCUACCAGGAACUCGACACCAAGCACCUACAGUAGAAGAAAGUUCAGCCCUGUCUACGCCCUGAGGAAUUGUCUGUGGUGCCGUAGGUCUUCUUCUUGAUUGCCAAGGAACUAUCAGUGUUGGGCUCUGUCUCAUCAGCCAGCUCAUCUUCACCAAUGAUGCCACAUUUCUCAUCACUG